AUUGAACGCUGGCGGAAUGCUUUACACAUGCAAGUCGAACGGCAGCACGGACUUCGGUCUGGUGGCGAGUGGCGAACGGGUGAGUAAUGUAUCGGAACGUGCCUAGUCGUGGGGGAUAACGUAGUGAAAAUUACGCUAAUACCGCAUACGAUCUAUGGAUGAAAGCGGGGGAUCGCAAGACCUCGCGCGAUUGGAGCGGCCGAUAUCAGAUGAGGUAGUUGGUGGGGUAAAGGCCCACCAAGCCAACGAUCUGUAGCUGGUCUGGGAAGACGACCAGCCACACUGGAACUGAGACACGGUCCAGACUCCUACGGGAGGCAGCAGUGGGGAAUUUUGGACAAUGGGCGAAAGCCUGAUCCAGCCAUUCCGCGUGCAGGAUGAAGGCCCUCGGGUUGUAAACUGCUUUUGUACAGAACGAAAAGGUUUCUACUAAUACUAGGAGCUCAUGACGGUACUGUAAGAAUAAGCACCGGCUAACUACGUGCCAGCCGCCGCGGUAA
rnacentral:rRNA from 1 species